rnacentral:rRNA from 1 species
AUACGGAGGAUCCGAGCGUUAUCCGGAUUUAUUGGGUUUAAAGGGUGCGCAGGCGGCCAUUUAAGUCAGCGGUUAAAUCGUGGGGCUCAACCCCAUUCUGCCGUUGAUACUGGGUGGCUUGAUUGCGGUCGAGGUUGGCGGAAUUCGUUGUGUAGCGGUGAAAUGCAUAGAUAUGACGAAGAACACCGAUUGCGUAGGCAGCUGACCAGACCGCAAAUGACGCUCAUGCACGAAAGUGCGGGGAUCGAACAGGAUUAGAUACCCUGGUAGUCCGCACAGUAAACGAUGAAUACUUGUUUUCGGCGAUAUAAUGUCGGAGGCAAAGCGAAAGCGAUAAGUAUUCCACCUGGGGAGUACGCCUGCAACGGUGAAACUCAAAGGAAUUGACGGGG